GAAUCGAUUCUUAAUUAUUAUUAUUUUACGAGAAAACUCGAUUCUCGAGUAGAAUCGGAAUCGAGUUUACCAUCCCUAAUCUCUUAUCUAAAUAAUCGAUUACCUUUAUAUCGUUGUUUCUGAAAAAUUCCAGAUUAUUAAAAAAAUAUUAUUUAAAUAAAAGAUUAAUUCUAUAGAAAAAAUUUAUUUAUUCUUUGUUUUCAAAUUGCAACAGUAAAAAGCACUUACCCAUCAUCCUGAUCCUCUUUGUGGCUUAAAUCAUUAUUUAAUGCUAUUGCAGCUGCAUCUGCCGCGGGCGAUAUGCGACCACGAUCGACUUUCAUCACAGGUUUCGAGAUAAAGCUGUUAUUAAAUAUAUGGUAUGUAUUAUUCACUAUUCCCCAACAAAAGGGCAAUAGCACAAAACAUGGUCAAAAAAUAAACGACUUUUUCCCUCCACUUGUCUAUUAAGUGCGAACAUUACACUCGCAGGAAUUCGGGAUAAUGUCGUUAGUUUUUAGGCCACCAUUUUUACUUAGUAUGAAUUAUAGUUAUUAGUUUUUUCACAAUAUUCUACUCAAUA